rnacentral:snRNA from 1 species
GUGCUCGCUUCAGCAGCGCAAACACUAAAAUUGGAACGAUGCAGAGAACAUGAGCAUGGCCCCUGCGCAAGGAUGACACGCAAAUUCAUAAAGCGUUCCAUAUUUUU